rnacentral:rRNA from 1 species
GACGAACGCUGGCGGCGUGCUUAACACAUGCAAGUCGUACGGUAAGGCCCUUUCGGGGGUACACGAGUGGCGAACGGGUGCGUAACACGUGAGUAACCUGCCCACAACUUUGGGAUAACGCUAGGAAACUGGAGCUAAUACUGGAUAUGUGCUCCUGCUGCAUGGUGGGGGUUGGAAAGCUCCGGCGGGUGUGGAUGGACUCGCGGCCUAUCAGCUUGUUGGUGGGGUAGUGGCCUACCAAGGCGGCGACGGGUAGCCGGCCUGGGAGGGUGACCGGCCACCUUGGGACUGAGAUACGGCCCCGGCUCCGACGGGUGGCCGCUGUGGGGAAUCUUGCACAAUGGGCGCCAGCCUGAUGCAGCAACGCCGCGUGCGGGAUGACUGUCUUCGUGUUGUAAACCGCUUUCAGCAGGGACGAAGCUUUUUGUGACGGUACCUGCAGAAGAAGCACCGGCUAACUACGUG